UUUGAAAUCUGGCCUUCGGGCCCGAGUUGUAAUCUGCAGAUGAGUCUUCCGGCAGAGCGCCGUCCAAGUGCCCUGGAACGGGCCGCCGGAGAGGGUGAGAGCCCCGUACCGACGUGCGCCGCGCCUCUGUGAAGCUCAUUCGAAGAGUCGAGUAGUUUGGAAAUGCUGCUCUAAUUGUGGGGUAAAUCUCCCAUAAGGCUAAAUACCGGCCAGAGACCGAUAGCGCACAAGUAGCGUGAGCGAAAGAUGAAAAGAGCCUUGAACAAGGGCGUCAAAAAGCAUGUGAAAUUGUUGUGGGGGAAGCGUUCGAUGCCAGACGUGGCGGCGGUUGGUUACCCGGCGUUCUUCGCCGGCGCACUCUGCCGUCGCCAGGCCAGCAUCGGUUCGGCUCGAGGCCCACCGCCGGCGGGAAUGUGGCUCCCUUCGGGGAGUGUUAUAGCCCGUCGGUACCGUCUCGAACCGGACUGAGGACCGCGCUUCGGCUCGGAUGCUGGCGUAAUGGCUUCUAGCGACCCGUCUUGAAACACGGACCAAGGAGUUGACCUAGCCUGCGAGUGUUUGGGUGUCAAGCCCUUACGCGCAGUGAAAGCGAAUGCAGGUGGGAGCCUCGGCGCACCAUCGACCGAUCCUGAAGUUUACGGAUGGAUUUGAGUAAGAGCAUGCUGGGUCUGACCCGAAAGAAGGUGAACUAUGCAUGAAUAGGGUGAAGCCAGAGGAAACUCUGGUGGAGGCUCGCAGCGGUUCUGACGUGCAAAUCGAUCGUCAAAUUUGUGCAUGGGGGCGAAAGACCAAUCGAACCUUCUAGUAGCUGGUUCCUGCCGAAGUUUCCCUCAGGAUAGCAGAGUUGAUCCUCAGUUUCAUGAGGUAAAGCGAAUGAUUAGAGACUCGGGGGCGCUAUAUUGCCUUCAUCUAUUCUCAAACUUUAAAUAUGUGAGAAGCCUCGUGUUACUUCAGUGAACGCAGGCCUUUGAAUGAAUCAACUCUAGUGGGCCAUUUUUGGUAAGCAGAACUGGCGAUGUGGGAUGAACCAUACGGGGAUUUAAGGUGCCGGAGUGGACGCUCAUCAGACACCACAAAAGGUGUUAGCACAUCUUGACAGCAGGACGGUGGCCAUGGAAGUCGGAAUCCGCUAAGGACUGUGUAACAACUCACCUGCCGAAUGUGCUAGCCCUGAAAAUGGAUGGCGCUAAGCGUCCCACC
rnacentral:rRNA from 1 species